UGAAUGCACUAACUGUAAGUCGCUCUGGAUAAGAGUGUCUGCUAAAUGACUAAAA
rfam:Salmo salar isolate Sally breed double haploid chromosome ssa10, whole genome shotgun sequence.